AGAAACCUUCUGAUCUUAAAUUUCUUCACAGUAUUCUUUUUGGGAGGAAAGGCAAGGUAAAUCUUUGACAUAUACACAUAGACUCCUUUGUAACUACGUGAUGCAAAUUCAUCUAUCAUCCAAGCACUUUGUUGUAUCAAGUACAACUACAUGUAAAAUUUGCAAGGAAACUACCACACUUUAUUUCUUGAUAAGUGCUAGUCCCUCCAAUAUGUCUAAGCAGAGGAAGCACAUUUAAGAAUUUUGAUGAAGCGAAAGAAGCACAAUUAAGAAUGAACAUGAGUAAUUUGGCACCAUGGGUUGUGUAAUUGUGUUAUCCUUUUGCAUAUACUGUUCUGGAACCAAACACAUAAAGAAAUAAAAAAAUUCCAAAACAAAUAAUGCAAUGCCCUAAGUGAUAAUGCUUGUCAAAGUGAACUUUGCUCAGCGUGUACAGAUCUUAGCUGAUUGCAUGUCAGGUUUGUAUAUAAAGUAGCAAGAGUAAGGUUUGGCUAGUUUCCUGGUCACUUUUUUUUUGUACAAUUGUCUGCUCUAUUUUAUAUACUUUUAGCCCCAGCUAUUUAAAAGAUGGCUAGCUGUGGCUUGGAUUCUCAAGUGAAGUAUGCUUUUGUAUUCUUCCACUUGCUUCCUUAACAAAUCCUAAAGUGUGACAUUACUCUUGAAUGAUACUAACGCUAAGUUCUAUCUCUUAUGUUUCAGGCUGUUGAUUUUAAAGGACAUAUACUCCAGUUCUCUGGAUUUGUUUGGCAUGAGAGUGAUGUAAGCUUUUCUCAAAAGCUUAAUUAACUAGUCUACUUUAGUUUAUUCAAAUUGAUUAAUUUAGGCAGUUUUUAUUUGUAGGAAAAGCAGAGAGCCAAGGCAAAAGAGAAGCUUGACAAGUGUGUAAAAGACACACUGCUGGACCUCUGUUGGACCCUUGGUAUUCCAACUCCAAAAGCAAACAUUAGAAAGGUUUUGUUUUCCUGCCUUGUUCUUGGAAUUAUACUUUUUUUAAUUCAAUACAUGACAUUCUAAUAUUGUUUGGUUAACUCAUAUAGGAAGAUAUUGUGUCAAAGCUGUUGGACUUCAUUGCUGAACCUCACUCUGCAGCUGAUUCUGGGCUCUCUGAUGACCAGGUUACAACACCUAUACAUUGUGAUUAUAUUUUAUUAUCAGCUAGAUGCUGUUGCUGAUGUUUUGUGGUUGGAGUCGGAAUUAACUUACAAGAUUAUUCUCUCUGUGUGUUUUAUCCUUUUCCACUGGCCAGGGAUCAAAUUCUAAAAAACGCAAGAGAGGAGGUGAAAGUGCAAGUAAGACUGAUGAUAGCACACCUAGUAGGUCAAGGAAGGUACAGUGCCAAAAUUGUCUUACAUGGUGUGUUGAAUAUAAGUAUACAACUGAAAGCUCUGAACAUGACUUAAAGCUAUGAUAUAGCCUUCUUUAGUGGCCAUUUGACCCUAAGCAAAAAUGAAGCUUUUCUUCUUGCCUAUGUCUAUUGUGUACUUGCAAUGGUUAUUUGUACAGUCAUGGACUCAUGGUCAGUUGGCCAUCCUGCUUUGUAUCGUUUUAUUACCAACAUUCUCAUUGCCUGUUCUUGCUGCAGAAAUUUGUGGAUGGCAGUACUUCUAGUAAAAGGCAGAAGAAAGCGCUCCAGUAUGAUACUGAUGAGGAUGAGGAUGAAUCCAUGAAUUCUGACAGUGAGGAAAACAGGGAUGAAGAUUCAGAUGAAGCUGCUGACAAACAGGAAGGUGACUAUCGAUCUGGCAAAGAAAAGGCAGGGAAGAAGUUAUCAGAGGUAAAAGAAUCUUCAGGCAAAAAGAAGGCAAACACAGGGAGUGGCCACAAAUCAGGUCCUCCAAAGAAAAUUAUCAAAAGUCCAGUAAAAAAAGUGUCAUCCAAGGUUCAUGAGGAAAAAGGAAGCCCCAAUGAUAGUGCAAAGGUUUUUUCUAGGAAGAAAAAACCCACAGCAGAAAAGGAGAUCAAAGAAAAAAAGUCAUCAGGUAAAGUAGUGACCUAACUAGCCCAAAAUGCCCCCUUUUUGUUGGUGUUUGGAAAUUUCCAGUUCAGUUCAUAUUUACCCCACUGUGGUUCAUCAUUUCUGGAAAUCAUCCUUGUCUCUUAUUCUGGUGGAUAUUUUUGCUAAUCUUUUUUUUAGUUGUAGACCAUCAUGUGGUAAUUGCAUUGCACUACAUAUGAUUAUUGUUCUGCUUGUGUCAUGGUCACAGAAAUAUCUCACUUUAAUAUAAAAAUCAUCAAGGCAUAGGUACUUUUCUGUAAGAAAAGGCACAGGUAAUUUAUUAGUUUGCCCUAAAAGUGGAGAUAUUGUAUUUUAUCUAGGCAAAAAAAAGGUGGCAAAGGGUAAAGGAGAAUCAGCUGAAGCAGUUCUUCCCAGCAAGGACGAUCUGAGGAAGACCAUUACUGAAAUCCUCAAGAAAGUUGACUUCAACACGGUGAGUUACAACUUUCAGUGUAGCGUACAGAAAAUGGUGUCACUAUUGACUAUUUGCAAUUAACCAUCAAUUUGCCAAGUGUUAAAGGUAUCUAGAAUGGUGAUAGGAGUAUAGGACAAUGGUGAAUUAGUUGCUUUCAAGAGUGUUUUUACAGAUGUGAAUAGAUGUUUGGAAACAUGGGUAAUUGACAGUAGAAAUCAUACUUAUGUUCCAAUUUAUGUGAUUAUGUGUCUAUGAUUAUGGUAGCAUAGUCAAUUAUUUUGGAAUUGCACAGGUAUUUUCUCAGUUGUACUAGUUGUCAUGGUUUUUUUUUACCAACUUUCUGCUCUUCGUUUUUAAUUUCUUGUCAUAGUUUUUACUGACCUCUUUGGGUACCUGAUUUUGCAGGCAACUUUCAGUGACAUUCUUAAGAAGCUUGGUAAGAUUUUCAGACAUGUUUUUACUGAUUUUCUGUUGCUGAUACUAGAUGCACUAACAAACUUUAUCUUGUAGACGAUCACUAUAAAAUGGAUCUGACCCCAAAGAAAGAAGCCAUCAAAGUUAUGAUCCAAGAUGAGCUAACCAAGCUAUCAGAGGAGGAUGAAGAAGGAGAGGGAGACGGAGACAAGCAGCAGGAGCAGCCUCAGGCGAAGGAGAUCGAGGCAUGAGGAGGAUUCGCAGAACCCCAUAGCUGUAGUAACCGCUGUUAAUUAUCCUGUACUUAAUGCGUAUGCAGUUGCCUGUACAGGCAUCCUUUGUUGAUUAUUAUCGCCACCAGCUCGAGAACCUCACCCCCUGAUUGUGUAUGUUGUGAGACAUGAUGUGUAGGCAGCCUCCACACCUUUUAGCUGACUGAUGAUAGGAGAGUUACUCCUAGGCAAGGCAACUUGUGUUUUCUUCUAGAUUUGCAAAUGGUGUCAGAAACUCUGCAUUUGCUGCGGCAGAGCGUGUACUUAGUUGUUUCGUGAUAGGUCUGAAUAACACAUGGAUGGAUAUGGUAUCAGGCUGUAGUUUGAUCGUGUUGCCUUGAGUUCUUUACUUGAUCCGUUUCUUCUGUGGACUGUGGUGGAUCUAGAGGCCAUUUGUGCUUGGAAUUGUGCAUGGGCCUGUGGAGCGGGUGGAUCAAUCUUGAAUGUUUGUGUUUUGUUGGUAGCGUGCGCUUCUCUGAUGUCGUCCUGCCUGGGUUGGUUAUCUUGGUAAAGCUCCUCCAGUUCCUGCUGCUGUACCUGUACCCCGAGCGAGAACUGGAGUACUAUUCUUAACUUAUUUGCUGAAUCUUAUCUUGGUAAAGCUCCUCUAGUUCCUGCUGCUGUACCUGUACCCCGAGGCCCGAGCGAGAACUGGAGUACUAUUUGCUCAACUUAUUUGCUGAAUUAUUAGCUACUUAGCAGUGUUUUUCUUUUGUAAUAAAUUAGCGAACAACAAUUUUAACUGUUGCGUCAUCCUAGGUGUCGAAAUCAAUCCAAAAGGGCAGAAGCAAGGCAUGCACACCUUGCUCAACUUUUAUUUAAAUUUAUUUGGUGAAUCUGUUAGCUAUUCGGUAGUAUUUUUCUCUCAUAAUAAAUUAGCGAACAAUAAUUUUGACUGUUGCACCAUCCUAGACGUCGAAAAUCAAUCCAAAAGGGCAGAAGCAAGGCACGCACACCUCGCCCAACUUUUAUUUGCGACUUAAUUUUCCCAUUGGUGGGCGAUAUAUAGAUAGGCCUGAUGAUAAAAAAAAAAUAGCCCCGAAAUUAGGCCGACAAGACUUAAGGAACGGGCCCUAAAAGGGCCGGGUUGAAUAUGUUUAUAUACGAGCUAAAAAUGUUCGAUGGGACCAGGUGCAGCACAGCGUCCCGGGCCACAGUCCAGCACACCACACUUGGCUGUGAAUGAGCAAAAGAUGGUCGCUGGAUUCCGGUGCCUUCUCCCAGAUUAAAAAAAAAACUCAAAAAUAAAGACAAAAAAAAUAUAACAGCUGAGCCAUUUAGCGGCUAAAAGGUAUGGUCAUUAGCGGCUAUUCCUGAUCGAUAUAACAAUAACCUAGCUAAUUUUAGAUCAACCCAGGCCAGUCCACACCCAUGGCGAUGGUGCUCCAUGCUCUCUUGACGUGCCACGUAGUAACUGAAAUUUCCCAUUCAAUCUCUUGACGUCAACCGGCGGACGGACGCUUGGAGCUAAAUCUUUGUUUCAUGAAGCGUCUAUGGAUAUUUCGUAGAGGUCUAAAUAUUUUAUUUGGGUUUGGGGUAUAUUAAAAUAUGUCUCUAAUUUUUUGGAAUUUUUAAAAGUAUAGAGGCAUUUUCUGUGGUUUAAAAACCUUUAUAAAUUUUUUAACUAAAAGAAAAUUUAGUAAAAAGUGCAGUCACGAGAUCCAUGGUAAAAAAAAAGGAAAAGACAAAAUAGAGUAAAAGUACAAACUUUUGAUGUUUCCUCUGUUGUUUGAUGGAUGGAAGAAGACCACUUUAGCUCUCAACUUUCGUGAAAAUUUACUUUUCAUCUCUAAACUUUAAAAUCGGAUAAAUUACAUCCUUCAACUUUUGAAAUUGUAUAUACUAUAUCUCUAACAUAGUUAUAAGUAGUUUUGAAGCAAGAACAAAGAAAAUAAAGCCCACAUCAACGUUUGCCGGAGGGAAAAAAAGAAGAAACCGACGAAAUGAAGACGACAAAACCGAGUGAUGGUUAGAACUUUCGUCGUUUCUUAAAGAAACUUAUUUUUCUGGUCGACUGCAUUUGGAAGGAUCAAAGCCGUUGUGAUUGCGGCACUUUUCCCAUCUAUAUAGAUCAAAGUCGUCGCAAACCUUUUCAGUGCACCUAAAAUUCAAAAAAAAAAAACAAGAUUCUCAAUACAUGCAUAGAACAUUAAAUAUAAAUAAAAAAUAAUUAAUUAUACAGUUUGACUAUAAUUUACGACGUACAUCUUUUGAGUCUAGUUAGUUUAUAGUUAAACAAUAAUUAUAAUAUAAAGAAAAAUACUAAAGUAUAACGGCGUGGACGUGCAACAGGUCACGGCCCGGUCGCGGCGCCCCGUGACGCCUGUGCAGACGACGCAGCUCGGCGCCACAGGCCCCUGGCGCUCGGACCCACGUCCGGAGUGGCUCUCGACCCAGCGCACAUGGACACGUUCAACACGCACAUCAACAAUAGCAUGCUCACUAGCUCAGGACCAAACUCUAGCGUCUCCUCUCUUCGACGUCUCCAUUGUUUCAUCACAAGGUGUACACAUUUUCUUUGGUCUGUUAAGUUCACUUGUUAGGCUGGGUGCAAUGGCAAAUGUGUCUUUAAAAAAAGAAAAAUUGGCAAAUCUGGUUGACAACAUGCUUUGGACUGCACUAUAAGCAGUCGCAAUUUUCAGCUAAGAAUGCUCAGCCUCAGCCAAUGGAUUGGAUAUAUAAAACCAGAAUCCAGAGAGUUCAAAUGACCACAUCUAUUCAGGUCAAUUACUACCAAUAUCAGCAACAGACAUGCGGAACUGCCAAUCACCAUAGCCCGCUACAUGAAGAGUCUUGUACAGCGAGCACCUAGCAUGGUUCUUCCAGAAUGGUGCCAGCCGGCAAUCACCACAUAUGAACAAAAGCCAGACGCCACAGCCCACAAUGGCGUCUAGGGGUGACAAAAUGCCCGGUCUAUUCUAGAAUCUACCUGCUUCCAAAAUACCUACGUCCAGGUUGGGUCAGUGCAGCCACCAUGCCUUACUUUCCCUGUCAGCAGUGAACCGAUCAAUCACCUACCGCUUGCUAGAGCCUUUCAGGCGAUUGCCCUGCAUUUUAGGAGGCUUCUCAUCAACAGCACCAUCUUUGGACUUGCCGUCUCCGCUCUUCUCACCUCUGGGACGACCAGGCUUCUUUUUGGGCUUAUCGUCAGUAGCUUCAUCGUUCGACUUGCGACAUGGGCGACCCAUUUUAGGCUUCUUCUGUGCUUCAGCAUCAGCAUCAGCUUCUUUUUUAUUCUUGGGUUGGGCAGCUCCACUCUUCAACCUGAUGGACCAAUCACAUGACAAGCAGUGAUCAGAAUGUCUCAAAAUUUUCUGCAUCUCGUUGCAACUUCAGAUCUUCUAUAGCAAAAUUUCAACAAUAUACUACUGCAAAGCUGCUGCUUACCCCUCAGAGAAAGGAUCCAAGAAAUUUAUUACUUGGUUCAGAGCAUGAAGAGCAAUCUUCUUAAUCUGAACGCACCAGAUUGGACUCCAGGUCAGUCAUGUCAUAUCAAAUAGCACAUGAUAAAUAGAAACAAGAUAAAAUAUAUAGCAUGCCAACCUCCAGUUUAUCCUCUUUAGCCCUGUGACCAGGUGGAAGUCGCCUAAACUCUCCAGUCAGUUUUAUGCACUCAUCGACGUUUUCUGGGGAAACAAAGUCCAUUGCAACCUUGAUGCAAGACUGCACAAACAGAAACAGCUUCGAUUUAAGCAACAGGAUACAUUUGUUGCUGAAGUAAAAUAAAAAGGAGAGGUCUGUUGAGUUCAAUCGCACCUUCAGAUUCCUCACUUGGUGAGGACAUCCAGCAGGAAUAAAAACCGCUUCACCAAGCCUCUGCUCAAACGUCCAGGGUUCAACACCUAUACCAAGCAUGCAAUCACAUUAGAGAUAGGGCAGAACAGCACAAAGCACUGCAUUUCUAAGGUCUGAAUAGCUAACUAACCAUAUUCUUCCUUGAGCUUUCUCUUAUGCUCCUCAGUUAAGUAGAAAAUCUGAUCGUGAAUUGGGUGAAUAACCUGCAUCAUUUGGAUGACUAUUAGUCAGCAUAGGAAAAACAGAGGAAAUAAUUGCAAGGAAAACCAUACCUGUUUCACAGGAUUGCAAUUGAUAUGCCGGAAUUCUUUGGCAUGUUUCCUAAGAUAAUCUUGUAGCUUGUCAGAAUCUUCUCUUCGGAAAAUAUCCCACAAAGCACCACCAGUUUUCUCAUGGUCUCCACUCUUGCCCGUAAUACACUGAGCACCAUUAUGCAUCCCAGCAUAACUAUUAUUCUUGUCAAUGUAAUCUGAACACUGGCCUGCAUCUUUACAUGAGAUCUUUGAUGUUUCGUCAAUGGUUAAAUUCCUGGAAUCAGUAGAAGAUGAUAAUAGGUCUCGUUCAGUGCCAGAUUCUAAAACACCAUAAAGUUCCUGAAGAUCUUGUUCUUUCAUUUUCUUUCUGAGUUUCUCUAUCUUCUUAUGUUGAUAACCCUCAUAGGUCACUUGUGUUGUAUGUGUUAAUAUAUUUACCUGAUAAAAAACACACUGUCAGAAUUAAUGACUGUCAUAAUAAGCUAGGGACCCCAAGCAAGAGACAAAUAAGAAACAGCUAUCAAUUGUCACCAGCUGAGUAUACAGCCACAGCUUGAAAAAGAGUCAGAUCAGAGAAAGCAACGUAAAGAAAGUGAGACACAGAUUACCAAUAUAAGAUAAGGCAUUGCACAAGUUGAUUUUAUUCUACAAUGAAGGUACCAGACAACCACGAAUGUUAUAAAAUGAGAAGAGAAAAUCAUCAAUAACAGCACAUACUGCAUCAGACAUGUCGCAGUGAAGCUUGGUCACAGAAUCACCCCUGCCUAACUCUUGGUGAAAUCCAUAAGCAAUGUAAGUUUUGGGUCCAAGAUCUGGCUUCAGUGCACCAUCAGGAAGCUUGACUGCAAGAUUUAGUGGACCAUAUCGAGGAUCAGUGUACUCAGGAAAUGGCAAUGCACUGAUAAACUCAGCGCCAUGGCGAGGCAACCUCUGAUCAAAUGAACUAGAUGGUGGCCAGUCCUUCAGCUUAAGCAUCUCAGGCCAGUGUACUGUGGUGUGCAUUCUGCCUUUCAUAUAUCCCAUAAAAAACAUAUGUAUAUUAAUUUCCACCUGCAACAAAAAUUGUGCAUGCCAAGUACUUAAUAUUUUUUUUUGCAAGGAAAGUACUUAAUAUUUUACAAUUAGCAAUUAAUAACAGGGCUGUGAGGAAUCUAUGCAUGCAUACAGAUAACACGGUUCCUUCAAAAAAUGAAAUGGAAGUUAAAUUCACAGAUAUCUCAAACAUUAAUUUUAUUUUUACUUGUAAAGCAUGCCCAAUUUCUUGACAUGGUAAUAAAUAAAUCUUCUACCAGAGCUUUACAACCAUGAAAACCAGCAUGGGGACAAAGGUAUGCAACAGAGAAUAGCAGACAUCACCAAGUCAGGGAAGUGGUCCCAACCUUUCAUACUGCACCUAAUAAAGUCUAUAAAGAGAAAAGUAGCACAUCUAAGGGAAACACAAACAAAACCACAUUUAAAUAUAUACAAAAAGAAAGGUCACCAAAUCACAAACAUUUAGGGAAGUAGAAUUCCUAACCUCAUUCCAAUCAAGGCAGUCUAUUGCCCUGACAGCAAAGUGCUCAUCUUCAACAUCACCAUUAGUCUUUUUCUCUCGCAAUGCCCGCCACAUAACUAAUGGCUCCCAACUGAGACCAGAGGUCAACUGAAGAACGUCAGAAACUAUAACUGGCUCACCUUUUGUCCAAUGCAUCUGAAAGUGCACUAAGUCAUCCUCCUUGAUGGCAGUGGCAACUGGGCAGUAGAUGUGAUUAUCACUUGAGCCUUUCCUAUUUGCAGCCUCUCGCACAUCAUGAAUUCUUACACUUCCUGAAUGGUCAUAACAAGGGCACUGAUCAAUUCUUUUGGUUACUGCUUUUGCAAAUACUUUACUCCUCACAAUUCUGUCAGCUCGUUCUUCUAAGUCAGAAAGUAAUUUCUCUGGGAACAAGCAUUUGAGGUCCAAAACUGAACCACCACAGCCUCCUAGCUCCUUCGGUGGGCAACAUAUGCUACCAUCACUUUCUGAUUUCCACAGUAGUAGAGACUUCUUUGGGGCCUCACUAGAACCCAUUCCAUUGGAAGACACAUUUUUCCAUUGGAACUGAUUAUUGGUAGCAAAAAUAUAAGUCUUGUCUUUUGGUUCAGGCUCUAAGAUCUUUACCUCCUCUCCUCCAGGAAUCUCACCUUUGCGGAUCUCCCCACAGCAUGAAAGGCACAAAUCAUAAAAACAGUACUUGCAGCUUCUAUGAAAAUCAACUACAGAAGUUUUACAGUUAUUGCUGCAUUAGAAGAAUAAGAAGAUAAAUCAGAUGCUUGCUGAUAUAAGAUUGUAGCGAAAAAGGAAAACAGGAAAGACCAAACCAGAAGACGCGUUCAUCUAUAUCACAUUCAGCCUGUUCCAACUUCACCUCAUUCAUCGAAACACCUAGGAAAAAACAAAUUAGCAUGAACAGCAACCUCAGUUAGCAGAUUGUGUCAUGCAACACCAGAACACAAUACCUUGUAUUUUAGCCUCUAAUUUCUUCUCCUCCGUCUGCUCCUGUCGCAGUUGUCUCAACCAGGGAAGCAACAAGUGCAGAACAUGACAAGCAUAAUGGAUUUGAUUUCCUUCAGAAAUUUUCUUCUUUGGUGGCUGCUUUGUGAGAAAUGGGGAUUUAUUGGUUAAGAGUAGGCAGGAAAAAUUUGAAGGAAAAUACCUAACAAGCAGAAGAAAUGGAAAAAAUGUAAAGGCAAAAAAGGAGAUGGAAUGCUAGGCAUGAACCUCUUCAACUCCUCGCAUUCGUAGGCAUCCCUUGCAAUUACAGUUCUUGCGACAAUACGGGCAUUGUGAAGCAAAUUCAUCUUCUGACAAACCAGGAUACCUGUUUAGUAUUUACAACAGAUUAGCAAUGUACAUUACACAAGAUCAAAUAACAUAACCACAUGAAUGGAAAUACCAGAACCAAAAGACAUCCUUUUUGUAGCACAGUAGACAAAUACAGUUGCAUCAACAAAAAACUAACAGAUGCCUAUAGAAAAAGAUGAUAAACUAACCAUGCAUAUGUAAUUUAUAUAUGUAACUACAAAGAAAUUGUAUGGUGUGCAAUCAUAUUAGUAGACAAAGAUCAUGAGAACUUAACACACCAUCGUUGGAUGCAUGGCACGCAGAAGCGCUUAUUCUUGCAUGAAUUACACCAGACCACCCUCCCUUUAUCAUUCCUUUGGCACUGGUGGCACAUCAGGGCAUUAUCCCCAGUCAACAUCUUCUUCCCUUUCUAGACAAUUGAAACAACACUUAAAUUCAUCAAAUACUUACACAAAAUCAUUCCAUUAACCAGCUCAUGAGUUGCUUACCCUUUUAGUUUCAUCACAAUCUUUACGCUUGGAGGAUAAGGCCUUCUUUUGUUCUUCAUUCUCUCUUUUCAACCUUUUUGUGACAGAAACCUUCCCUGCAUCUCCUUUCUUCCUCUUCUUUGCAGUCUGUAAAACCUUGUCCCUAACUGUCUCGGAACCAUCCUGCAAGUAAAUGAACUUAAAGCCUACAACAUUCUUUCGAUACACUAGAAGCAUCAAAACUGAGGUGUUACAGCAAAGGUGCCAAUUGAAUUACAAGGAAAUUUCCUUUAAUAUCAUAUGGCCCAAGAAACAAAAUGCUAGAACAUUCAUCAAAGAAAAUUGAAAUAUAAACUCAAAAACACCAAAACUAAGGUGUUACAGAAAGGGGGCACAGAACUACUAGCCGCUAGGAAAAAGAUGUUCUUUAAUUUUUUUUAUUUUUUUAUAUAAUAAAGACAGAAACACAAAGGAGCAUACAAGAGAGCAAGUAUAGUAUUCACACAGCUGGAUAAUCACCGCACUAUUGCUAGUUACAAGUAAACAAGCUCGAAAACAUAUUUACUAAUCGACAUUAAGGUUUUAAUUUAUACAAGGCCAAUAGAGAACAACAAAACCAUUCCUAAUAGAACCUGGAACUUGUGACAGGGUGUUUGUAUGUUUCAGACAACAUUUAGAAAAUUUGUAUUGAUUCUUGUUGUUAAGAACUGCCAGAUAGUACAUGGUAAAAUUGGCAACACGCUAACAUGGGUACAAAACUAUAGUAAUCAACUGUUGCAGAAGAUUGUAAAGUAGCAUACCCCCUUCAUGUCACCGUGGCAUUUGCUGUUGGGGAAGUCGGCCUUGCUGUUGUCCACAUGUUCUGGUUUCGUUUUUCUAGGACCCCUCUUCUUGCCAGCAUCAUUUCUCUUCUUUCUCUGAGGCUUGAAUUGGUUGGUGGCAAUCUCCUGACAUUACACCAGCCUAGAAAUUAGCCCGCUACAUUAAGAGAAUACACCCGACAAGAAUUAAACCAAUAUCCAAUACAAUGGCAAGUAAAUGUAUUUCAGAAAACGAGACACAAGAUACUGUAGAAUCAGCAUACAUACGCAGUAAAAAAAAAGGAAUAAGAGAAAUUUCUGCUAUUGUAGGGGGAGAAGGAAACAGACAGUAUGUCGAAGCCUUUCCUUUCAUUUACUAUGAAUCGUAGUAUAUCAAAGAAUCAUCAGAAAUAUCCCUCGAGUGACCGAACAAUACUUGAUUUUUUUAUCUAAAAAGUAAAGGAAUUUUUUUUCGUUUAAAGAAAAGCAUCUUUCUUUAUCUGUAUUCAAUGCGCUAGUUGCUCAUAUAGGAAACAGUAAUAAAUCGUAUGAAAUGGUAGGAAGGCUAUUUUUAGGCAUUUUCGUACUCCUGGAAAAAAAAUGGGAAUUUUUUUUAAAUGAAGGGAAACUGGAAACAUGCCAAGAGAGAGGCGCAAAACACGUUGCAAAUCCCUCAAAAAACCCCCAAAAAAAAUGGGGAAACUAGGAAAAGAAAAAGUGGAGAGCUAUCCCAGCACCUCAUUGUCAUCAUCGGUGUCGCGCUCGCAGAAGACGUUGGCCGCGUGCCUCCUCUCCCUAAGCACCAUGUCCCUGAACGCCACCCCAUCCAUCGCCGGCGCCGCGAAGGGCCUGUCGUCGCUCCGGCGCUUGGGCCUCCCGCGCCCCUUCGCGGCGCCUUUCCCCCGCCCUUUGCUCCCGCGCGUCGUCACCCCACCACCAUCGCCCGCGGCCCCCUCUGGUUCCUCCGAGAUGGCCAUGGCCGGCGCUUGUGGGGAAAAGAAACGACUGGAGAUUGGAGAGGAAAGGCAAGGGUCGGCCGGCGAAUCGGCGAUGGAGAAACGUGGAGGACGUCCUUCUUCGUCCUUUUUAUUUCUUGGCCCCCCGGGCACGGGAGCGAGGGCGGGCGGUUUGGGCGCGGACACGGCGGCCGAGGCGCCGCGGCGAAAUCCCAGCCGUCGGUGCGGGGACAGGGGCAUUGGUUUUCAAAUUUUGAAGCGGUUGGGGGGAGACGGCGAGUGGAGGGAAACUGGGAAUAGCAGGGGGGAAAAGAGCGCGGCGGCAAAUCCUGUGUGCGCCGCGCCGUGGUUUGCAUUUUCACCCCCAGGGGCGCCGGUGGUGUGCAAGUACGGAAUACGGAAUGCCGAGUAUACUCCGAUCUCUUUCACAUUCACAUUUUCGCCGUAUACGAGUGUACAGUCUGAGGGCUUGUUUAGAUCAAAAACUUUUUGGAUUUUGACACUGUAGCACUUUCGUUUUUAUUUGACAAACAUUGUCCAAUUAUGGAGUAACUAGGCUUAAAAGAUUCAUCUCGUGAUUUACAGACAAACUGUGUAAAUAGUUUUUAUUUUUAUCUAUAUUUAAUGCUCCACGCAUGUGCCGCAGGAUUCGAUGUGAUGGAGAAUUUUGUAAAGUUUUGUGUUUUUGGGUGUAUCUAAACAAGGCCUAAGUCUAAGUGACAUGUGAGAGAAAAAUAUUGCUGAAUGGCUGAUAGAUUCGGCUGAUAAGUUCAAGCAAAUAGACCGGUAAUAUACGUACGCCUUCACCGUAUAUGCAUGGACCAAAAGCAAAACUAUCUAGGUAAAUUAAGGUCUUGUUUAGUUCGCAAAAAUUUUCAAGAUUCUCCGUCACAUCGAAUCUUUGGUCGCAUGCAUGGAGCAUUAAAUAGAGACGAAAAUAAAAACUAAUUACACAGUUUAUCUGUAAUUUGUGAGAUAAAUCUUUUGAGCCUAGUUACUCCAUCAUUGGAUAAUGUUUGUCAAAUAAAAACGAAAGUGCUACAGUAGCCAAAACCCGAAAAAUUUUGCAAACUAAACAAGGCCUAAAAAAAUCAUGCCAACAUGUAUCCUAUGAAUUACCUGUUAAAGUUAAGGUUGAAACGUAGAAAUUUCAUAGGAAUUAUAUAAAAAUUUCAUAAGAAUCAAUUUAUUUUUCACACAAAAAAUACAUAAACAUGAAAAAAAAAACUACAUUCCAAAGGGAGUCUAAAAAAUUGUUUGGUUUUCUUGCUCGUCAGUGUGUAGUCUUGCCAAGCAAGGAUAUUGAUAUAUGUAAGGAAGCUUUUACCUUGCUUUCGAGAGAGCCAAAACGGUUCUCCUCGACACCUUCUUCUUGCUCGUGCAAGAGAGACAAGACAAGAUAAAUCUCUCUAGUCUGGAAACCAAGCCAUGAUUUUUAAGGUGUCGCCUAGGCGACAAGGCAUUCAUAGUGAGUAAGACGUCCAUGAUGCCUAGCCAAAAGUAGAGGAAAACAAUAGAGAGAGGCUGUCGUGCAGCUGCCUCCUCGCUCAUCCCUACCAGAUCUGACGUUGCGCUAGGUCAUCUAUGGCGGAGAUGGCGGUUGAUCGAGAUGGGGAUCUAAAAGAGCAGCAACAAGAGGUCAGGAAGGAGCAGAUGGCAAGCUAAACGGCUAAACGCACACUACCAAGAGGAGCGUGAGGGAGGGAGGGAGGGCGACAUUGUACCCACGUGAGCCAUGAGAGAGAAGAUGUGACGACGUUACGCCCGCAUGAAGGAGGGAGAUGCGGCGGCGCUUCAUCUCCCAGCGUCAAGUCGGGAGAUGUAGGUGUGUUGCGCCUGUGUGAAGGAGGAUGCGUGCGGCGGCGCUGCAUGUGCGUCCGUGAGAAGUGAGAUGAGAGAUGACCUAAAAAGAGAUAAGUACGUACUUGUGGGCUGCCUAUUGGGCCGGACCAAGAACUUCUCUUUACAUUUGCCUUUUUCUAUUUGUUUCUUUUUUCUCUUUUAUCUUGUCGAUUAUGUGUUGGUAUUUUUCUAUUUCUUAGAAUGGUAAGGCAUCAUCUUGACUUGCCUUGUCUUAUGGUCGUCUAGGCGUCGCCUAGAUGGCUCAAAUGAGUGGCUCGCCACGUCUCCUCUUAUAACCCAAAUAUGAACCAAGCAAACCCAAAAUGUCUUGGGUCUAUUUAGGAUAUGAUUGAAUGUUGUUAAAGUUGUCGGUCUGGUUUCAUGGGCUACAUAAGAAAAGUCUGGUUGUGUCCGUGCAUUUUGCAAGAAAUAUAUUGUUUGGCUGAUUUCAUAAGUUGUCGGUCUGGUUUCGUGGGCUACAUAAGAAAAGUCUGGUUGUGUCCGUGCAUUUUGCAAGAAGUAUAUUGUUUGGCUGAUUUCAUAAGUUGCUUGAGAUCUUAAUUGAGCUAUAAAAUAAUCCAUACGCUUACCUUGUAUGUUCAUAUGCUUAUAUUACCACCCCUUUUAUUCUUCUUCACCAUAAAAGAAAACAAGGUGAGGGUCACUCAUGGAGUCAGCUGCAAUAGCUGGGGAGAUCAACAAAAUGGCCAUGUGAACCUAGAUGAGUGUUGUUGCAGACUUACAGUCAGACUAUGGAGAAACGUUUUCAUCAAAUACUUCAAAAGAUUUUGCAUGCAGUCAGAAUCAGACAUACUUUUUUGUGGCUGAUGUUGAUGCUGAUUUGUUAUGAAACAAAAAACACUACUCUAGAAAAGUACGUCUGAUUUUUUUUCAUAUUUUGGUAUUUUUCUAUGAAAACAAACUAAUUCAUAUGAAAUGUAUAAAUUUUAGGGAUAGUUAACUAAUUAUUAUGAGAGUGGUGUUCAACUACGACAUAAUUAAUGGGAGAACAGAAGGAUCUACUCGUGCGAAUCACUGUGUUGGGUGCCUAUCUAUGCUAUAUCUAAAAAAAUAUCUAUUCUAACCGCAACAAAACAUUAUGAUAUAUUUAUAUAUUCAGGUUAUAAUUUUAGAAAUAAAAGAACAAUAGUGUUCCACAUGAUAUUUAAUCACCAAAAUGACUUGAAUGAGAAGGCACGUGAGAGGUGUCUCUAGAAAACACAUAUUGCUCGAGUGUAUCUAUAUUACAAUUUUCCCCUCUCAUAUGAACUAUUGGGAAAUUUCAUUGCUCAAAAAUGAUAUUAGAUCACCUCCGUAACCACCAAAGAAUGCUAAAUCUAUAUAAAAACACAAUUACUAGAGCAAAAUAGUUAGUGCAAUAAGUAAUCUUACUACCACUAUUUCGCCUAGCCUAAUUCACCCAAUACAAGCCUCUUAAACGAUUCUAGUAGCGAGGUGAUCUAUCACUAAAGCACGCACAACCACGCAAGAGCCUAGCGACUAAACAAGCUACUCCUGGUGAGCUAAACAAGAAGAGCAACUAAAACUAGUUACUCUCUAGCCUCUACCCUAUUAGAGCUAGCUACUACUGCACUAGAGAGCAACACAAAAGCAAACAACGACUAUUCAAGUUAUGCAUAUGAAAUAAGAGCACAAGUGUAGAAUUUGCAAAUCACCAAAGGCAAAGGGGAAGACAAGAUUUAUCCCCGAGGUUCGGUUUGCUUAUCGGCAACCUAUGUCCUCACUGAGGUAAGUCUCUAGGUGAAUAAUCCACCCGACUUUCGACGAUCUCAUUUAAAUCUCUCACACGCUGCUAACUCUAUUCUUUGGUGCUCUCCAAUGGGGUACCACCAGACAUUUACAGUUACUCAGUUAGUACCCUAUUCCAUAAUUAAAUUAGCACAAGGCACCCUAUUCUCCAGUGCCCCCUCCCCCCACACACAAUAGGGCACGUGAAAUUGUUGAUGGAUGACCAAAAAAAUACCAAUUCUCAUUUUUUUACAAAGCGAUUCAAAUGUUCAACUCCAAUGUGUUCCAACACGAACACCUUCGCCUUAGGCACUGAGUUAGCUUUUCAAAAAUAUCCUUCCCUUGCAUCUCACAGUGUCACUAGGUUCAAGUUCAAACCUAGGCACUAGGUAACUAUUUUGCAUUCAAUUAUCCUCUGAAUAUUAUGACUAUCCAUCUUAAACCUGACCAUGCACUCUAUUAUGUCUUGGCCGAUGAAAUGAAAACCCCUAACAUAUACCUUUUGCUUUCGAGAUUGUUUUCAUCCCCUCUUCUUCUCUCCAAACGCGAGCUACUCCAUAUGGCAUGAUCAUCCUCUCAUCCAUCUACAAGCCGUGCUCACCAUCUCGAUAUGAACCCUAGGUCAAUCACAACUUAAUUAAAAGCAUUAGUCCACUAGUUGUCAUUCAUUACCAAAACCAAACUUAAGGUUUUCACUCGCCCAACAAGCAAUAGUCUCUUCAAUAGCAUAAAGGAUCACUAUCAUGAGUGGAACUAGUUGGAGAUAGAACAAACACAUAUCUGCAUGAUUAGUUUGAGCCUGAACACUCUAGGUGCAGUGAAUAUCAAGUUGUUUUGUUUGUGCGGAAAUUUUGUGAUAUUCUGCGAAAGUUAUGCAGAACAGCGUAGAGGUUUCGCACCUAGCUAAUUUAUGGCUAUUUUUAUUGAAUUUUAAAAUCGUCUAUUCACCACUCUCUAGGUGUCAUCGUGGUCCUUUCACAAACUAACAAAAUUGCUUCAUAGUGUUUAACAACAUAGAGAUAUGUAUAUUGUAGAGUGUCAAAUGCUAACAAAAGGGCUAACCAAAAUUAUCAACCAAUACUCACAAAUGUCGAUGAAUAUUUCACUUAGUUAAAACAUAAUAAGAGUUGUUGAUAUAAAUGUCACAUGCUUACGGCCUUUUCAUGUGAAUAACCCAUGGCAUUUAACAACGCUAUAUAGUUGCACUAUAGAUAGUAGUGACAGAUACUCAUGGAUAGACAAGCUAUGACCCUCAAAUUUUACUUUAAACAAUAUAGAGUUAACUACGGUCUAAGCAAUAUACAGUUGUAUUAUAGAUACUCCUACAAGUUUCAAGGAACAGAUUGGCCAUAACUAGCAAUCAUUAUUGGUUGCCAAAUUCACACAUAUGCUCUUAGUGACAACUGACAACUUUUUCCAUGCAGAUCUCCACACUUUAGUUUAGCAAUGGCAAAGAGGUCUACUAUAGAUACACAUGUGCCAAAUUUUCAUCAAACAACAAACAACAUUCAUCAAUACUAUGACAACAAUAUUUAGUUGUACUUUUGACACAAUUGUCAAAUGCUUAUGGAAUAGCUCAGCAACAACUGGCAACCAUUUUUUUCACAAUUCUCCAUCCAAAUUGCCAUGUGGUGAUUGGCGAUGGCAAAGAGCUGUAAUGUAAAAAAGUGGCAAAUGCUCAUGAAAGGGCUAAUGACAACUGUCAUCCACUACGCUCCUAUGUGAAUUGUCAUGUGUAGUUCGAUGGCGAUAGAGAGUUAUAAAUUAUACAUAACUGUCAAAUGCACAUGAAAUGGAUAAUGACAGGUGGCAAAACUCUACUAUAUAACCGCGUGUAAAACAUUCAUGGAAAUAUAAAAAUGUAUUCCAACACAUAAAAGUUUUUACAAUAUUUUAGUAAACAUUUUUUAGUCUUUAAUACUAGCACCCACCUAACAUCUCCUUUGUUUUCCCUACCAAAUUCCAAUCAAGGCCUCCUUUGCAGGUAGCUGCACCUCACCAACCACUAAACAAAUAACAUCCAAAACCUCCUUUGUCGCCCACAAAAUCCUCACCAUGUAGCUAAGCACAUACUCUGCUCACAAUUAUCCUUAUCCUCUUCCUCUCCCUCUUAUCCUCCCUCGGGUCUAGAGACGUGAAGUGGAGUAGGGAUCCAUCGGGACUUGGAUUGGUUUCUUCUUUCGUUGGUAAGGACAUAUAGUUUCUACAAAUUUAUGUAAUGGUCAUAAGUUUAGAUGUGAUCUUCCCCUUUUAUUUUACGUGGCCUUUUUGUUUUAUGUGGAUUGAGUUUGAAUCUUUCUUGCUCUUUAUUUGACUAGCCAAAGAUUAGAUCACUUAUUAAGCCUUUUUGUCUAAAAACAUGGUGGUUUCUCAUCUUGAUUGCUCAUAUUCCCAUGCAUGGCUUCGUUUUGUGCGUGGCCCCUAGCCUUGAGUGGAUCACCAAUAUGGUUUAGGGAUUGUGGUCUAGUUGGUGUAUGACUUCCUAACUAGAGCUUGCACUACUUGCUUGAUUUAAAUGGUGGUUUAGUGAUUAUAACCUUCCUUGAUUCGAUAUGGUUGCUUAUCGUCACAUGUUGUCCACUCGCUACUAUAGUCAAUGAGCGGCUAUCGGCUGAGGCUAAGAAGAUGAGGCGUGGCGGCUAGAAACAACUAGGGUUGGCUAAGGUCUUAUUAGGGUUAGAAGAGAUUGAGGAAGGAGUAUAUACGACACAGUGAUACCUUGUUGGGCCGGGUGAAAGGUCCUAAUAUGGCUAGAGGGGGGGUGAAUAGCCUAUUUAAAAAAUCUACAAACUCACUAGAGCAAGGAGUUAGUAAAUAACAAAGCAAAGCUUUUUGCUCUAGCUCUAAAAGGGUGUUUGCAAGCCACCUACCCAACAAUUCUAGUUGCUAUGAUCACUAUGCACACAAGAACUAAGCUACACAAGGCAAAGUAAGCAACUAAACUAAUUACACUAGUUUGCGGUAAGUAAAGGAUAGGAUGAGAUAUUUAUACCACCGUGUAGGGGAUGAACCAAUCACCAAUAUAAACAAUCAAGCACCGGAGAAUGCCAAUCAAACAUAAUUGAGACACCGAUUUUUCUCCCGAGGUUCACGUGCUUGCGGGCACGCUACGUCCCCGUUGUGUCGACCAACACUUGGUGGUUCGGUGGCUAAGAGGUGUAGCACGAACCUCGUCCUCACUAGGACACCACGAGAACCUACCCACAAGUGAGGUAACUCAAUGACACGAGCAAUCCACUAGAGUUACCUUUCGGCUCUCCGCCGGGGAAGGUACAAGACCCCUCACAAUCACCGGGAGAUGGCCACGAACAAUCAGCAACUCGUGCCAAUCCUCCUCCGCUGCUCCAAACCGUCUAGGUGGCGACAGCCACCAAGAGUAACAAGAAAACCGCAGCCAAAUCGAUCCCCAAGUGCCACUAGAUGCAAUCACUCAAGCAAAUGCACUUGGAAUCACUCCCAAUCUCACAAAGAUGUUUAAUCUAUGAAGGAGAUGAGUGGGAGGUGUUUGCUUAGGCUCACAAGGAUGUCAAGUAGUCAAGAAUGCCAAGAGAGUAAGCCCCAAGCCGGCCAAACAUGUAUUUAUACCCCCUCAAGCAAAUAGAGCCGUUGGCUCUUUCACUGGGCGAAAUACGGGGUCACCGGACGCUCUUAAAGGGGCACCGGACGCUCAACACCAGCGUCCGGUGCUCCAACGUCAGCCGCGUGUCAGAGUCUAACGGUAACCUGCAGAGCACCGGACGCUGAGCAGGUUGACACCGGACGCGUCCGGUGCACACCGGACUCAUGCGCAGAGAGCUCCGCAAACUCGCAGGGUCACCGGACGCACCCUCAGCGUCCGGUGCUCACCGGACCCAUGCACAGAGAGGGUCGCAAAACGCCCGCACACCGGACGCUAACCACCGGACGCUCAAGCCAGCGUCCGGUGCCUAUCGUCCGGUGCCUAACCCUAGCUGGGCUAGGCACUGUCUGCACCGGACGCUCAGACUUAGCGUCCGGUGCCUCAGUGGCCAGCGUCCGGUGAGUGUUUUCUCAGCGAGAAACACUCCCGCUACUUCUCCAAAUUUCCCACCGGCGCAAUAGAAAAUAUGCACUUCAUUUUCUCGAAAAGCGCCGAAUCCCGCCGAGCUUGCGAGGCGGGAGGGAGAGAGGAACCCAUCCCCUCUCUACCCUUGAAACUCCACCUCCUUCUCAAAGUGUGCCAACACCACAACGUGUGUACCAACGAGCGUGCACGUGUGUUAGCAUUUUCACAUUCAUUUUCUUUGAAGGAGUUAAGUUAGCUCAUUAGGUUCUAAAUGCAUGCACAUGAACAAUGACACCUAGUGGCACUUGAUAACCGCUUAGCCAAAGAAUUCCUUUCUUUAUAGUACGGCUAUCUAUCCUAAAUGUGAUCACACCCUCUAUGGUGUCUUGAUCACCAAAACCAAAACCCUAAGCAAUACCUUUGCCUUGAUCUCCAUAGGGUUUUGUUUUUCUCUUUCUUCUUUUCCAAGUUGAGCACUUGAUCAUCUUGUGGUCAUCACCAUCAUCACCAUGAUCAUCACUUGCUCCAUCACUUGGCAUGUACUAACCUCAUUAAGUCUACACACACUUAGUAAAGAGGUUAGUACUAGGGUUUCAUCAAUUAUCCAAAACCAAACUAGGGCUUUCACCGGGCUACCGAACGGAGUGGCGGUCAGGUAGCAACUAAGAGGUUUUUAAGGCCACACCAGACUAAAAAAACUCUUGGCCCAAAAAUACACCUCUAGCCCACCUAAUUUAUGGCUCUAUAAUAAUUAAUGACUUCUUUGGCUUAUGGGUAGUGGUAGUGGUGCUAGCUAGAAAUUGAAUGACUGAUUUGAGCAUUUUGUGGCCCGGGGUGAAAAAAGUCUGGUUAUUUUGAGCCAAAAAAAUCACACCCACGACCGUCCCACUAGGCAGGUCAGGUCUAAUUUUUCGAGCGGGACCUUAACCUAGGCGGGCUAUUUCGUGCAUUUAUAGUAUAAAAUAGCAAAAACAAUGUUUUUGAGUCGGGUUUGGAUCAAGAUUUUUUUUCUAGGCAAUAGGAUUUGUGCCCAGGCCCGUCCUAUAAGGUUCGUGGGCGGGCUAAAACUUGGCAGGCUUGGGCCAGGCCAUGGGCGGGCCUCAAUUUGCACAGGCUUACUGAAUGACCGCAUCUAGCUUGGAAAUUAUUACAUGUCUAAAAAUAUGAUAUCAUGUAUAGAUCCGACGUAGAUUGUUUCUUUUGGGUUAGGGCAGUGGCCUAGGAUUAGGUCUAGAUCUUAUUAGGGUUUCAUUUAUUAGAGUCAUUUUAGGGUCGUGCAUAGUGACUAAGGCCUUGUUUAGUGUUGACGGUCCUUAAUGCUCACAUUUAACCGUCUACUAAUCAUGGAAAAAGACCUAUAUGCAACCAACAUCCAAAACUUAGGGUUUUAUCUAACAGAAUUUCACGAGUUUUGAUGUUUGUCUAUUUAUGCAGGGGGUUAUAAGGAAACAUGGAGGAAAGGCCCACACGUCGGGUUUACAUAAAGAUAUUAACGUGUGCGGCAAUUUUCUAUUAUCUAGAAGACUCCAGAAGCCACGGGAACGAAUGGGACGCCAAGCGAGCUCGGGGACUGGGCGCCCGCCCUCCCCCCUUGGGCGCCCGCCCAGGUGUCUCGGCCAAUCAGGCCCCGCCUCGCGGAUCAUGCUCCACCGACCUAAGGGAUUAAGGAAAACCGUACGAUUAAGGUUGGUUUGAUCCGACGGCCCACAUUUAUUUGGAGGGGCUAUAUAAGUAGCCCCCUGGCCACUGGAGGAGAUAUCUCUUCUAUAGAAUCAAAGCUAGUGUUCAAUUAUUCAUCCAAGUAGAGAGGAUCCCUCUAGUUCAUCUAGUUCUAGUUAGUUCUAGUUGUAAUCUAGAAAAUAGGUAGAGAGAAGAGGAGAACGGAGGAGGAGCCGAAUCUGUCGGAUCUUCCUCAACAUUGUACUUUUGCAGCGACUGGUUCAUUCUUCAUCGUUCUCCAAGUUCUUCAAUUCAUAAUUCCUGAGUUCUUUAAUUACUUUUAUUUACAUCCAAGUUAUUUAUUGGAUUCCCGCUUGCAUUAAGUGCUCUAGUCUUUGCAACGCUAGAGUAGUAAUUAAUAGAUUAGACAUGGUGUUUAGUCUUGCAAUUACCUAGAAUUGCACCCAAUCCUGCGGAUUGUUGUGGUAGCCUAGGGUAGUGACAGCCCUAACGGUCGACGUAUUCCACCCCGUUCGGAUCAGUGUUUGUGUUUGUAGGACCGUAGUCAGAGCUUCCUAGCCCCCCUUCUCAUCUCUUUCUGUGGUUAGUGUUCUGAUGUUCCUAAAUAAAUAAUCUUUAAAGUAAUUCUUGAUUCUUAGAUCAACUAGAGAACUCUCAGGAAAGUUCCUCUCUUCCCACAAAAAAUAAUUAUAUAGUUAUCCUUGGGCGAUCUUGAAUCUUAAUUAGUACACUCACGUUCCCUGUGGAAAAUCGAUACUCUGGAAUACUCCCGAGUGAAAGCUACAUUAGUAUCCGUGCGCUUGCAGAUUUUUCUGUUUGCGUUUAAAAUAGCCAACAUUUAGUUCCAAAAAAUUUUGCAAAAUUUUUUAGAUUCUCCGUCACAUCAAAUUUUUAGACGCAUGCAUAGAGUAUUAAAUAUAGACGAAAAUAAAAAUUAAUUGCACAGUUUGGUCGAAAUUGACGAGACGAAUCUUGUGAGUCUAAUUAGUUCAUGAUUAGAUAAUAUUUGUCAAAUACAAACGAAACUACUACUAUUCCUAUUUUUGCAAAAUUUUUUGGAACUAAACAAGGCCUCAAGAGAAAUUAAUUCAGCCAGUGAAAGAAGAUGUAUGUAGACAGUUGAAUUAAUUAGACCAGUGAGAGAAGCCGCAUGUGUUUGAGAAAAGGUGAAAAUAAUUGUUCUUAGCUUAGAUGACUUCGAUUCAUAGAAUUUUUUUUUUGGUAAGAUCACUUCGGUAAAUAAAUGGAGGGAGUAAUUGCUUAUGUAGUUAUGUGGAUGGGAAGAACAUUUAACCCUAAAAUUAUGAUCCAGCACGACCUCAUUUCCCUCCAUAUUAAGGGUGGAUAAUGAGCCAAAUCGGCUCGGCUUGACUCGUUUUAGUUCGUUAAGAUAACGAACUAGCUCGGCUCGUCUUGUUAUCUUAACGUGCUAGAAAGCCAGCUCAGCUCGACUCGAUAAGCUCACGAGCGAGGUAUAAAAAGUACAUAAAAUAUAAUAUUUAUAUUUAUCUAAAGCUUAAAAAUAUUAACAAUACAAUAUAAUAUAUCCAAUAGUCUUAAGUCCAACAAAAUAUUUAUAUGAUUUUUUCUCUAAUAUUGUAGCUCGUUUGGCUCACGAGCAACUCACGGAUUGGCUCAAGUUUACUCAUUAUAGCUAAUGAGCUAAAAUUUUGGCUCGACUCGACUUGUUAUCGUAAUAAGACGAGCCGAGCUGAGGCGAACCAGCCACGAGUCAUUUAGCCUUACUCCGUACCAUGUGGCUGGCAAUUUUUUUUUUCAUUCCACGAAGCUGGCGAAAUGGCAAGCGCUUACGCCCUUAAAGAAAAGAAAUAUAACAAAUGAUUAUGCCAGUCUCAAUGUAUAAUUUAAUGACACAGUUAGCAAAACUAUAAACUAAAUAACCGAGCCAUAUGAGUUUUAUGGGAAUGAAACUCCUCUUUCAUCUGAUGAAACUCCUUCCUUUAAUGACCCUGUCACGUCAGUAAUUUUGCUUACGUAGCAUUCUAUUUAAUAUGCAUGACACUUCCAUGAAACAUACAUUAAGACUAGCCUUAGUUAUUAGCAUUUAAACGUGUUUGUUUUCAUAUUUAUACAUCUUUACUUGCCAAAAAAAUCUCAUAAGCUAUCGAUUUUGAUUUUGGUCGUGUGACGGUUGAGAUUCCUCUAUGGGAAACAAGUUGUUUGGCAGGCCGCAAACCUAACAGCCGAGAGGUUGUUUGAUUUAUGGCCUCCUAAAUAAGCUUUCUGUCAACGAUCAAUUCUGAUCCUAAUCGAAAAUAAGCUUUCUGUGCGUGCUUGUUUUGCUGGGGCAACCAAACCUGCUUGUUUGCUUGAGGUCUUGUUUAUUGGAGAAGAAAUUUUUUUUAGAUGUUAUAUUGGAUUUUUUUAGAUGUCAGAAGGAAUUCGGAUACUGAUAAAAAAACUAAUGACAUAAUUUGGCUAGAAACAGUUAGACAAAUUUACUAAGCCUAAUUAAUUUAUUAUUAGCACAUAUAGUUGUAUCACUCAAGAUUAAUUAUGGAUUAACUACACUUAAGAGAUUCGUCUCGUGAUUUCUAACUAAACUAUAUAAUUAAUUUAUUUUUACUUAUAUUUAAUAUAUAUGUAUAUAUAUGUCCAAAUAUUCGAUUUUGGAAACUUUUUGUUCGGAACUAUACAAGGCCACACCUGGCUGACGGGAUUGACGUGCGUGACGUGUCACGUGCCUGGCCGGCACCAAUCAAAACACAGCCAUCAGCCAUGCCGCUCCUGGCCAAGGCAAAGUUUUAUACAGAAGAAAAAAAAACUCGUAAAAGGAAAAAACCCAGAGAACCCUCCGAGGGCCCCGUCUGCGUUCACCCCCAGAAAACCCCGCGUUCACCACUGCCGUUUCGUCGCUCUCUCGUCGCCGACAACCGGGCGACCGCCACCGCACCCCUACGGCAGGUGCCCAGGUCCGGGCGAUUUGCCGGCGACGAGCAGCCACCAGGUAUCGGCACGGCACCCCUUCUCUUCCCUUUCUACUGUGCGAAACCGAGCACCCGAACCCUAGCUUGAAGCUAUCUGGAUGCUUGUGUUCGGAUCCGAUCUAGUACUUACAAGUUUAUACAUUCAUUCUUUCAUUAUGCUUACACGUACGAUGGUGUUCGUGCUCAAUGGUUUAGCCGAUCUGUAUCAUGCAUUAAAAAGUAAUCAAGUUGGCCAAUCAUACUUACCUAUCGGGGAGUGUGGUUAAUCAUCUGAUGAUUUUGGAAAUAUUUAGCAUUCUUUGCGGUUAAUCAAGACAAUGUACGAUCUUUCUUAUGACUUUACACUCUUUGUUAUGUUUUACAGUAUCUACCUUUUUGUAUUGUAGCUCAUACACAGUUGUUUUCUGUAAAGCCUUUUCUUUCCCCUUUUAGCAGUCCCUUUAUAACAUUUAACAAUGUGUGUGUGUGUGUGUGUGUGUGUGUGUGUGUGUGUGUGUGUUUUCCAUUGCUUACACUUUUGAUGACAUUUUUCUGCAUUUUCCUGGAGCAGAUAGAGGAUUGUGGCCAAUCAAGAUGUCUGGGGAAAACCCAGCGACAGCAGCAGAGGAUCCACCUCCAUUGACGGAUGGAGAAUCUGCUGCUUCAGAGAAGAAUGAUGCUGAGAAGUAUGGCUCUGAAGAGAGUAGGGAAGUGGCAGUGACUAGCAAUGAUGCCAAUGAAGUGAAGAGUGGCUGUGAAAAUGGCACAGAGUGUGCGGCAGAUGAGGGCGCAAAUAUUGUGGAGACCGAUGAUACGAACGAAGCCAAUUCAGGUUCUGCUAAUGUGGUUGGUGAUGUGGAUGUUCAAAUGGUUGACACACAGCAUGAAGCCAUAAUUGAAGGUGUGGAUGUUAAAAUGGUCGAUACACAGCGUGAAGCCAAUAUUGAAGCUGUGGAUGUUAAAAUGGUCAAGACACAGCAUGAAGCCAGUAUUGAAGCUGUGGAUGUUAGAAUGAUCGCGACACAGCAUGAAGUCAGUAUUGAAGCUGUGGAUGUUAAAAUGGUCGGGACACAGCAUGAAGCCAAUAUUGAAGCUGUGGAUGUUAAAAUGGUCGAGACAAAGCAUGAACCCAAUAUUGAAGCUGAGGAUGGUGAAAUGGUUGACACAAAACAUGAAGCCGUUGUUGAAGUUGAGGUUGUGAAAAUGGUUGAUACGCAACAUGAAGCCAACAUUGAAGCUAAGGAUGUGAAAAUGGUUGACACACAAGUUGUGAAAAUGGUUGACACACAGCAUGAAGCCAGUUUUGAUCCUGGGGAAGAUGUGUGUCAAGUUAAGGAGGGACUGAAUGGGGAUAAUCAGUAUGCCAAGGCAUCAGAAGGUGAGGACACCAAGAUGAUUGAAGCAAAUGCUGAUACUAGGAAUUCCGAGGCACAAGAAAAUAGGAAGCCAGAAAAGGAAGGCAAUGCAGAAGAGAAGACAAAUCAUGCCAAUGACAUUGAAAUGGCUGAGAAGGAAGAUAAGGAGGGAAAGAAUGAGGAUAGUCAGGAUGCCAAGGUAGCUGAAGCUGAUGAAAUGAACAUGGUCGAAGCAAAGGUUGAUGCUAGAAAUGCAGAGGCUCAAGGAAAUGGGAAGAAGGAAGAAAUGGAGGACAAGAUGGAAGAGAAGGGAAACAAUGCCAAUAUUGAAGAUGAUGUGAAAACUUUUGGCAACGAAGAUGCAUGCCAGAAGGAAGUCAAGGUGGGAAAUAAUGAGGAUAGGCAAGAUGCCAGGGCAUCAGAAGGUGAUGAAAUCAAGAUGGUUGAAGCAAAGACUGAUGCUGGACAUGCUGAGGUAGAAGGAAAUGAGAAGAAGGAAGACAAAGCUGGCCAGACUGAAGAGAAGAAAAAUAAUGCCACUACUGAAACUGAGGAGUUAAAAGUGCCUGACAAGGAAUAUGCAUGUGAAGAGGAAGAUAACAAUUUAAAGAAUGAGGGUAUUCAUGAUGGCAAGGCAGCAGAUGGUGAGGACAUGAGGAGUGUUGAAGGAAAGAUUGAUGCUGAAAUUGCAGAGGUAAUAGAAAGUAGGAAAAAUGGAGAAGUGGAGUUCAAGGCUGAACAGAAGAAAAAUGAUGGCAAUAUUGAAGCUGAGAAUGUGAUAAUAGUUGACAAGGGAAAUGCAUGUCAAACAGAAGAUAAGGUGAGAAAAAAUGAUGAUAGUCAGGAUGCCAACCGAGCAGAAUGUGAGAACAUCAAGACGGUUGAAGCAAAGAGUGAUGCUGGAAAUGCAGCGGUAAAGGAAAAUGAGAGGAAGGAAACAAAGGAGGAGCAUAAUGAAGAGAAGGAAAAUGUUGUCAAUGUUCAAGCUGAUGAUGUGAACAUUGUCGACAAGGAAGAUGCAUGUCGGAAGGAAGACAAGGAAUUUAAGACUGAGGAUAGUCAUGGUGCCAAGGCAGCAGUAGGCAGGGAAACUAUGAUGGCUGAAUCAAAGUCUGCGGCUGUACAUGCAGAGGUUAAAGAAAAUGGACAGAAGGAAGAAGGUGGGAACAGGACUGAAGAGAAACAAAUCAUAUGCAUGGAGAAACAAGACGAAGAUAAGAUGGUGCCAGCAGAAGUAGAUAAACUAGAACUGGACAAUAGAGAACAGAUUGGUGUGGAAAUGCAAGAUGGGUUGAAAGAGGAAGAAAAAAGUGGUUUUGAUAAGCAUGAAGUGAGUGAUAGAGAAGAAAGUGUUGAGGAGAGUCAGCAGGAACUGAAAGGGGAGGCAAAAGGUAAUGUGGGCAAGCAAGAAGUGGAUGAUAGAGAACAAAAUACCAAGGAGAAGCAGGACGGAUUGGAAGAGGUAGAAAGAGUUCUUUCUAGCAAGGAUGAGGCAGCAAAAAAUGAACAAGAGGGAGCUGCUGAGGAGCAUGAGGGAGAGAAAUGGGACAGAAAUGUUGCUGCUGAGAAGAAAGAGGAAGAGAAACAAGAUGCCAAGCUGACUGCUGAGGAAAAGGACAAAACACAUGAUGGAAAAGUGGCUGCUGAGAAGCAAGAGGAAGAGGAAGAGGAAGUGAACGAAAACGUAACUUCUGAGAAGAAUGAAGUGGGUGUGAUUGAAAGGGGAGUUUUUGAGAAGGAUGAUGAAAUGGAAACAAAGGGAAACACUACUGCUGGUAAACAAGAGGGAAAGAAAGACAAUCAAAUAGAUGAUAUAUGUAAACAUGAGGGACAAAAUAAAGGGACCAAACGAGCAAAUGCUGACAUAGAAGAGGCAGAAAAUGGAAGCGUGUCUAAUAAAAAAGAGAAGGAUGGCGAGGCGACAGUGGAACAAGCUGGCGAGUCAGACAUGGAAGAGAAUAAGAAUGGAGAACCAAAGAGCAAGAAGGCAAGGAUUGAUACAGAAAAGGACCAUGGAAAGGAUAAGAAACAAGAUGGUUCUAAGUCUAGGGAAGCCAAGAACUUGUUGAGUACCCCAAGUCCUUAUUCUCUUGAUCGUCCGGCGCGUGCUAGGAAAACAGUGGAGAGGUUGGUUGAAGUGAUUGAGAAGGAGCCACUUAUUGUUGAGAAGGUUAUAUCCUCACAGACAUCUUUUCCUAUUUGAUUCCGUUGUCAACUGUCAUACUGUGCCAUUUCAUAAUGCUUUAUAAACAUGUCAAUGCAGGGUCGUGGCACACCUUUGAAGAAUAUACCUGGCGGUGCGGAACUAUGUCGCAAUAUCUUUCUAUUUUUUGUUUCGUAAACACUGCAUUUUGCACCCUUACAAUCUAACCUGAGGCAUAUAAAUAUGUUUUUGGUACAUGAAACCUAAGAUGACCUCAUAAUGCCAUCUUUCUUUAACUAUAUAUUGUGGUAUAGUAUGCUAUGAAGUAUAUGAUUCUUGGUGAAACCAAUGGCCCUGUUAAAGUGUGUAUCUCCGGGGGUUUCCAUCUUCUACAUUUUUUUUGGUGCCUGCAAUUUUCUUAACAAUUACAACUUCAUGGCCUUAAUCUGAUUAGGAAACAAACGAUUUUGUUCACAUGGCAUGGUAACCUACUCCCUCCUGUCCUAACACAAUCUCUAAGUAUGUCUUUGACAGCCACCAUCUUUUCAGAAUAUAUGCGUAAAAUCCAGGAUGAGAUUAUGAAAGUAUCUUUGAAGACAAAUCUACACUUCUGACUUUCUUGUUUCCAAACUAACGCCUUGUUUAGCUCCUUCGCAAAACCCAAUUUUUUUUCAAGAUUCUAUGUCACAUCGAAUCUUUGGACACAUGCAUGAAGCAUUAAAUAUAGAUGAAAAUAAAAACUAAUUACACAGUUUAUCUGUAAUUUGCGAGACGAAUCUUUUAAGCCUAGUUAGUCUAUAAUUGAACAAUAUUUGUCACAUACAAACGAAAGUGCUACAGUGGCCGUUUUCCAAAAAAUUUUGGAACUAAACAAGUCUUAAUAUAGAAGUUAUUGAUACCUGAUUUCAAAGUUUUCGAGACUGGUGUGGUGUGACUCUUAUAUUUUUGUAUCUUUGACUUCGAUUGACUAUAUCAGUUUCCUGUUUUGGAACUGCACCUUGUGCUUUCUCAGAAUUUAAGUUUCUAUAUUGUUAGUGCCCUGGCAGAAUUUUUGCAUGUUGCAAUGUUGCAUUAUCUCUAUGUUGCAGUAGUGAUUCUGCAGUUCAAUGACCCGUAACAUCAAUUCUUUGUACAUGUAAGUAUAUACUCUGCUGAUUCAGAUUUGAAUAUUUUGCAGUUGCGAAGAGAAUAUCAAAUAAACAACCUGCCGAGCUUAAGCUUCUCCAUCAAAUCCUUUUUGGGAGGUUUGGGAAGGUAAUUUAAAAUAUAAAUGUUGCGCUUUUAAAAUGACUCAUGUUCUGUUGUGGGAUUUUUCUAGACUUCAGUUAAUCAUUUCAUCUGAGACAGUUAAAAACAUAGUAACAUCUCUGACGAGGUCAUCGUAGCUCUUUGGAAAGAAUAUGUUAUAUUGAACGAUUCCAUGUCUGUGGACCAUGAAUACAUAAUUCACCUGGCCUAAGUGACAUUCUCAGUAACUUGUAUAGUUCAUGCCUUAUGAGUUAGGACCAAGGCGCACAAAUGAAAAUAUCUGCAGGUAAUCUGGAACUUUGCUAUGUUGAUAUACCUAUUUGUAGGCUUUUACUUGAACUUAGGUUUAAUCCUAUGCAACAAUCUGUUUUAGAUUAGCAUCUUACUUCCUUUGAUAAGCUAGCCUGUCUAAACCGGUCUUGCUAAUCAAUGUUAUCAAGUUGUCCGACUCUUCAUGAUUCGCGAUUAGUCAGGCUGACCGGUGACAUGAUGAUCAACUAUGCACUACGAUUAGUCACGAUCAGUCGCAAUUAAUCACAAUUAGUCACCAUUAGCUGGGGUGAUCGGCACCAUGGUGACUAGGAUCGAUUAGACGAUUUGAUAACAUUGUUGCUAAUAAAUGGAGUACUUACAGGAUGAACAAAAUGAUUAAUGUGGUUUUUUACUUUACAUGUUGGCAGAUACACCUUAUUAGUCUUUUUUCUGGGGUUUGGUUUUGUCACUGGCUCACUGCUUCUGGCUUUUGACCGAAACACUUGUAAAAUUUCAAGUUAUGAGGCUACCUUUGAAAAUUGGAAGUCUGGGAUAUAAAUUAGGUGCAAAUUAGUAGCCUCUUGGUAUACAUUUUGUUAAAAAGAAGGUCCAGGAAUGUGAACCAGCUCAACUGAAGCUAGAGUCCCAAAAACCAGUGUACAUUUAUAUACAGAGGGAUUACUUGCUUCAAGUUUAACUCGUGUUUUUCAUUUGUUGUUUUAUCACAGUUGAAUUCUGCACAAAUUGUCAUUGAUGCUAAAGCUUCAUUCCAAGAUUCUUUCUAAUAUACUUAUCCUGACAAAUUGUUACAGGCUGUUGAUUUCAAAAGCCAUAUACUUGAGUUCUCUGGAUUUCUGUGGCAUGAUAGUGAUGUAAGCAUCAUUGUUUUUCCCCCAAAUUUCACAGAUCAGUAGUUGCACUAUUUAUCUGAGAUUAUUAUUUUAACUUUGGCGGCUCUCUUUCUUGUAGAAAAAGCAUAGAGCCAAGGCCAAGGAGAAGCUUGACAAAUGUUCGAUAGAAACAUUAUUGGAUCUCUGCAAUCUGCUUGUUAUUCCAGUUUCAAGGUUAAAUAGUACAAAGGUUGAUGAAUAUCUUUUAUCUUGCUUACUUAACUUGAAUCAGAGUGCAGCAUGAAUGCAUGAUGCAAUUUCGGUUUUUUCUGUAACUGAGUUACCCAUGCAGGAUAACAUUGUGGCGAAGCUGCUGGAUUUCAUUGCUGAGCCCCGCGCUAAGGACGAUUCUACACUUUCUGAUGAUCAGGUAAAUCUGUGGCUACAAUGGGUAUGCACUUUCUGAGAUUUAUUUAUGGAUUCCAACAACAAUGAACAAAACGUUUGCUUCAGUGUUUCUUCCUUUACUUAUCUCCAUGUUUUACACUUCUGUACUGUGCAGGGAUCAAAUUCUAGGAAGCGCAAACGAGAAGUGGGGAGUGCAACUAAGAAUCCAGAAGACACACACAAGAGAUCUAGGAAGGUAACAUCUUGUAUUGGUGUGACACAAUCUAUUUAAUCACAGUUCUUUGCCAUUAACUUGAAAGAAGCUUUACAUAUUUACCUUCUGUUAAUUUCUAGUUUGUUUCAUAUUGCAUGGAAGUUUUACAUGUGCAAUUGCUGCUGUACAACCAGAUACUUGAUAAUUCCAAACUGUAAUGAUCAGUGAUAUCUGUUACUGUAGCUAUCACCCUUUUUGUGACUCACUCUUAUUUGCCCUUUGUGUGACACCAGAAACUUGAUGAUGAACAUACUUCACGCAAAAGGUGGCAGAAAUAUUACGAGUCAGAAUCUGAUGAAGAUGCUGAAGAAGGGCAUGAAGAGGAUGAUCACAUGAAGUCUGCUAGUGAGGAAAACAAAGAUGAUGGUGAAGAAGUUGAUAGUGAGCAGGAAGAUAGAUAUGGCCGGCGAAAAGUAAAGGCAGGUAAGAAGUCUGUAGAUGGAAAAGGAUCUACAGCUAAAACUAAAAGGAAGGCAAUCACAGGGAUUUCUCCAAAGACAGCUCCUGUAGGUACAUUGAGCAAGUGUUCGAGCAGAGUUUCAUCAUCGCCGAAAAGUUCUAAGGAUAAGCAGAGGUCUGCUGUGGAUUUAAACCUUGACUCUAGGAAGAGUAAACCCAUUACGCCAAAGCACACAACAAAUUCUGAAAAAGAGACCAAUGAAAGAAGAUCAUCAGGUACGAUUAUCGCUUGACUGAUUAGUCACUGUAUGGUAAUAUCCAUGAUACCAUAAAUCAUGCUUUCCUUUGAUACAUUGCUUAUAGAUGCAAUAUUUCUGCUUGCUAUUCUGAACUUUCAAAUUGUUGUGUUAUGAUGAAUUAUGAUCAAGAGCUAUAUAUUUUUCUGUAUCUGUGAGAAUACACAGUAGAUUAAUUGAUAUUUUUUGUCAGAAAGAUGGUGAGACUAGUGAAUUUUUAUAAUAUAGUUUAAAAUGACCUUCUGGUUUUAUUCUUACUCUUACAUUUAUAACCUGCAGUUACUUUGGACAUUCAUCUUUUUUGUUGUUUGUAUCCUUUGUAGUGGGACGGAUAUUUUACUACUCGUAUCAUGUCAUUCAUUCAACCCCCCCCCCCCCCCCCCCCCCCUCCUCCUCUAAUGGUGUGCUCUACUGCUUUGUGUAGGGAAAGGGUCAACAAGCAAAGGGGAAUCAGCAGAAGCAGAACAAGCUCUUCCCAGCAAGGAUGAACUGCAAAAGAUUAUUGUUCAACUUCUUAAGAAGGCCGACUUUGACAAAGUGAGUUACAGUGUUUAGGCAGAGUAGCAAUAUGUAUUCAGAUAUAAUAGUAUAAAUGGACUACAUCUCUUAUAAAUGAAAUCAACCUUGGUUCAUAAGAGAAUUAUAAGCUACUGUGAGUUGACUUAACUCUGAGUUGCAUGUAUAAAAUGCAUUUUCAGCCUGUGUUAGACUGGAACUUUGAUUUACCCUAUUUUCUGGUUUGUCUUCUUAGAUCAGCAUUUGGAAUGCAGAUUUACAUUGCUUUUGCUGUCAGAUUCCUCUUACUAGUUCCACUUUUGUUGCUUGUUGCCAUAACCUUGUACUAUCUUUCUUAUAUAUAGUGUGAUCCACAUAGAUCUAACUGAUUCAUUGAUUCAUUUUCCAGGUUACAUUCAGUGACAUUCUUAAGAUGCUCGGUAAGCCUCUUAAUGUCAUGCGUCAGGAUUUGAAUUAUUUUGCCAAUGCUUAAUGUUCUAAAUUCUAGGAAACAAAAUGUUACAGGUAAACGCUACAAGAUGGACGUAUCUUCAAUGAAAGAUACUGUGAAGUCCAUAAUUCUUGAUGAGCUGGCCAAGUUAGCGGAGGCAGACGAGGACUAAUUUGGAAAUGAAGACCCUGGCAAGAUGAAGUCAAAGCAUCAAAGCAUAGUAUAGGAUGAGGGCUGACAAGCUCGAGCCCAGUAGCUAUAAUGAUUGUAACCAUGUUAACUGUUGUUAACCGCGAUGCCUUUGGUCAGUAACUUGCCCUGUUUUGGGAAUGUAGGAUGCUUUGCAGCUCUGAUCUAACCAGUGGAGGUACAUAAACUGCUGUGGUUGCCUGCGACGAUUAGCUCCUGGUUCUUCUCUGAAUGGAUCCUGUUGGUUACUGGUUCUUUGUUCCUUGCAUGCUCUUCGCAACUUUUUAAGUGAGGGUCAUCUAUGUGGUCAGUGGAGGCCCAUUCUUUGUUCGUUGUAUGCUUUGUUCCUUGAAUAUGUGAUAUUGCAGCCUAACCUGGUGUCGUGGUUGCAUCACAAAGAUAAUCCAGCGGUCAUGUUUGCAUAACAUAGGGUUCAAAUUUGAAAUUUGUCAGUGAUGCUGACUUGGUCUUUGUUCUUUGCAAUGCGUGCUUCUGAUUUUCAUUGUCCAAAAAACAGUAGGCACCACAAAUAACAGGUGCUGUACCAAGUAAUUCUAAGGUUACAUUUCCACAGUGUUUUUUAUUCUAUUUUUCAGAAGGGCAGAGAGCCCAAGUGCACAGUUCAACUGAAUCGUUAGUUGGCAGGGUGAAUUACAUCUAAUAAUCUGCAACAAUUCAGACCUCGCACAACAGCAAGUAAGCCUCCUCCUUUACCCAUUUCACCCUUCUGCUUCUUAUGAAUUCGUCGAACUUCUUGUUGAGCUCACUGAUCUCUAACCUGUCCAGCCCUUGAGCUGUUUCGCAGGUCGGUUCCUCGACAUCAUCAACAGUCUCCUCCAAGUCCAAGGUGCUGCCGUCUUCUUCACCAAGCCUGAGCUCCAGCUCCAGCUCCGACGGCUGCUCUUCAUCAUCUGGUAACGUGCUGGCAUUGUCAGACAUUGUGGACUUGUCUUCACCUUCUUGCUCACCAUGGCCAUCAAGACUUUCUGAACAUAGGACACUUGACAGCACGGGCACGGCACAUUGCUCCACCUGCACCUGAUGAUGAUGAUGAUGCUGUGCUUGUUUCUCCAGGACUCCACCAGGCUCGCCGGAAGAAGCGGCAUCGCCUGCCGAUGCGGUGGCAGCGAAGCGGCAGCGGCAGUCGGCGGCCAGGAGGAUGAAGAUGACGUUGGAGAGCACGAACAGCGCCGUCUUGCUGGUGAAAAUGCUGCCAGCGACAGCGAGGAGCCGAGCAGGUAGAGUGGACGAGUUUUGCGAGGUGGCCCUGGCCAUGGAGAAGGACGACAAGAACAGGGCGAGGAAAGCGAUGGCCGCGAGCGCUAAGGUGACUCGUGAGGCGUCGGCGCCGGCGCCGGCGCUCCUCGCAACGCCUCGGUCGCAGUGCUUCGCGCUGCUCUGGUGUUCUACUUGUACAUGCAGUAUGUGAUCCAUGCUCUCUGUUUUUCUACAGGGCAGGCUAGAUGGAUGCGAUGGAGGCUUUGGUCCGAUGAUAGAGACGGGUUGCUCCUGAGUUGCCGAGACCGAAGCUCAUUGGGGGUAUUUAUACUUGCUUGACAGUAUAACAACCCUGCAAACAAAUGAUACAUACAUAUGGCUGGUUGGUUUCUUGGGUGCAGAUGCAAUCAUGCAAAACAGAGAGAAGUUUCAGAUGCCUGCCGGUGUAGUUUCCCCCAGGCCCAGCUACAGAAAACAGCACCCCUAGUAUAAUUUAAGCAGCGUUGCCACCUAAUGAAGUGCCCUGUCAGCUGCCUGGGGACGAGGGACGAAGUAUCAUGGAACUUGCUGCUGUAUGCUUAGUCAGGAAUCAAUAUUUGACAGACCGUGCAGUGGAGACAACCAGAUCUGCUGAAAACUUAGUUUCACGGCUGAUAGUGACAGCGACCUGGUGAAGCUCACUGAUGAGUCCGUUGGUUUAACUGAACGCCCACGGAGAUGAGAAUUCGAUGCCUUCCUAGCAAUUAGCACCGCCGUAGAACGUAGAGUUUCACUGCAUUUCUUUCAGCGCAGUGAAACCACGACCUGCUGGAAGAAAAAGAGCCAUUACAUGACGAGAUGAGACUGAAAGUGCAGGGAACAUCCAUUCCAGACCAACUAGCUCCAGCUGAACAAAGCAAGCGUGUUUGUUGCAGAAAACAAGUGUGUGUGUGAUUCUCCCUGUUGAGAGUUGAGACCACAUCAUCGUCGUCGUCAUCAAGGAGCCGCUUGUAAAAGACUGAGACGAGCACAUGAGCUGCUGCAGCAUCGGUCACAGUAGUAGUACUAUCUUAGCCUCUGGGAUCAUCAGAACACACAAGUUGUCGCCUAACAACUCGCUACUGUACAAUGCACUUGAUGGGGGGUUCACAGGUUUUGCUGGAUCAUUGCAAAUGUCCAAUGGAGCAGUGGUGGACACGUGGCGACCCGAGAUCUGCCUCGGCCACGUGACCCCGAGACAGGCAGCAGCAUCAUCUCCGGUGACAACGCUAGACACUUUUUGGUAAACAGUAUGUCGGGUCGAUGCGUGAGACGGCAAUAGAACAGCCGAUCAUGAUCCUGUCUUGUCCAAAUUCAUAACAACCCUAUUCAAUUUCAGACAUGACUGGGCGGCUGGGCCUGUUAUUAGGCAUGAAUUUUGGAGCUCAGCUCUGUAUGAUUUUGCGAAGACUUACCAUCCAGUUUCUGAUCCAACGCCCAAACUCAGACCAUCCUGCUAGCUUGUGCAGGUGCAUUUGAAACCCUACAAGGCAACAACAUUGGGCUGGGGCAAACCAUAUCAGGCCUUGUUUAGUUCGCAAAAAUUUUCAAGAUUUUCCGUCACAUCGAAUUUUUGGUCGCAUCGAAUUUUUGGAGUAUUAAAUAUAGACGAAAAUAAAAACUAAUUGCACAGUUUACAUGUAAUUUGUGAGAUGAAUCUUUUGAGCCUAGUUACUCCGUGAUUGGACAAUGUUUGUCAAAUAAAAACGAAAUGCUACAGUACCCAAAAACAAAAAAUUUUGCGAACUAAACAAGGCCUCAUCCACUGCAAACCUUUUUAUGAGUUAUGACCAUUUGUGUGUUUGGGCCUCUUCGAGUUUGAGGUGCUCCACAAGCCAUCUUUAAAGUUCUGACGUGGUUCCAAGGGCUGGUCUCUCAAAAACACUCAUCACUCUACCCUUUUCCAUAUAUAAAAAAAAGCAAAUUCAAAUAUAAUAGGAUAAUCAAACAAAUAUGAGGGAUUCUUUUCAAAAUUUGUUGGCAUGCAAAAAUAUGGUAAGGACUGCCAACCGUAGCGCUCCAUGAUUGUUGUGAGCACAAUGGAAUGGAAUGCCUAGUGUGUCAUGUCAAAUCACGCUGGAAUGUCGAUGGAUCAAGGGAUGCAAGCGUUGUACUACUCCUGAAUGUCGUUAAAAGAAUCUAAGUGAUCCUAGACUAAAGCAAACACUUUUUUUGUUCAACCUUUCUCAUUCCUUAACCAAGUUCCACUUGUUAACAACGAUGAGGGUGUGAGGACCAAGUCUCCUUUUCUCGCGGAGCAAACGACGAUUCGAACCACUUUAUAGACCCAGCUGGGGCUUCCUAACCACAUGAUAUAUGCAGGGCUUGACUUAGAUAUAUCAGUCCUGUCUAUGGAUCCUCCAACACAAGAUCGAGCCCCGCGCCACCCGAGAGCACAAUGCUCCAUCGUCCAUCCCAUUACUAGGAGGGUAUACACUACUCUUGCCAUCUCUCCACUCCCAAUGUGCAAGUAGCCAUUCUCGUAAUAGAAUAGCCGAAACAAGGUUUAGCUGAGUAUGUGGCUAGUACUAUAAAAGUUCUUGAUCCAAGGACCAACAACGGACGAUUAUUAAUCAACACAGACAGAAACACUACACUAAGACUUCUUUCCCAAUGCAAGUUACCCAUCUGGUCUCAUAUUAAUGAUUAACCUUCAUUAUUCAUUAAGUUGUUUCACAAGAACCCUUCAAACUAUAUUUUUUUUUAUAAAAGCCUAUCUCAUUAAGCAAGCUAAGCAUUACUAAGCAUUUUUGAAUAACAAGUAACAAGGAUGAUAUAGUAAUAGACAAGAUUAGUAAUACAUCAAUUAGGUUAUCACUAAACUCCUAACCACUUAAUGCAACAAAAAUCAUUAUCACAAAGUGAUGUAAAGAUUUGUAAAACUCAAGGAAGGGUUUAAAUGUAUCCGGGGCUUGCCUGUGUUGCAGAGAAUGUUAGCUUUCCCGAGAAAGGUCCAGUAGGCACCAACACCUUAGGUGGAUGGACCUGCCCCGAGACUCAAUCACAUGAGUCUUCCCACUCUCAUAUGCACUACACGUAAAGAAUGAUGCCUUGCUUAAUACGAUGAAAUGUAUACCAUGAUGUAUGAUGCAUGAUGAGAGGCAUACCAGUGCUUUAUAGAAAGUAAGCAAGUUAAGAAAGUUGAGUACAACUUUCCUUCACUGUACAAUUGCAAGUGCUUAACACAAAGCAUGUUAAUGAUCGUGAUUAGGUUUCAUUAAUUUCGUAACAUCUGGGAUGUUGCAGAUUCGAAGUAGCAGUAGAUGCUCAACAAUUAAUGCUAAUUUUUGUAACAAAAUAACUCGGCAGUAUCAACGGUAAACAACCACGACACCAUAGUUAGGUAAUUAUGCAGAAAAAAACUCCAUUUGAUGAGAUACGAUUUUCCUCCUUAAACUCUGAAAUAAGACAUUUUAUUCCCUCAACUCUGAAAACCGUUGAUAUUAUCUUUCUACCCUAGCUAGAAGUGGUUCCCAAGAUGAUUUCAUCUUUUUUUUUUAAUUUUUUUGGUAAAUACCUGGCAAGUUUUUAAAACACAAAAACGUCCCUAAGGUUCUAAAAAUCUUGAGAAAAAUCCUAAUGAUAAAAAAUAUUUAGAUAUCGUAAAAGUACCUCUCAAGCCUUUCAAAAAAAAGAUUUAGCUCUAGACAAUAGAAAAUAUAUAGUAAAUCUAGAAAAUUCCCAAAAAACAUUUAAAUCAAUGCUGAAACGUGUUUUAAAAAUUUUCACAAUAAAAACAUGAGGUGCAAUAAUCAUGAAUGUAUUCAACAUUAAAUAUAUGUUGUAUAUUUUUCAUGUUUCAUCUCAUAAUUUUUGUUGUAAAAAGCUUUAGAAUGCAUUUAGUUUUUAAAAUUUGUAUAGAUAUUUUCCAAUCUAGUAGAGCUAAUUCUACUUUUCAGAAGCUUCCAAAGAUAUAUCCAUGAGUUUAAAAUAUUCUACUUUGGUUUGGCUUAUCCCAAUCUAUCUCUUGAUUUUUUUCUCUCAAAAAUUUGAUAAACUUAUAGACAUUUUAUGUGGUUUUAAAAAUAUAUAUCAGUUAUUUACAAAACCGCCUUAAAAACCAUUUCUACAUGGGUAGGAAGGUAGAGUAAUUUACACCAUUAUUUUUUUAAUCUCGUUUACACCAUUAUUGAAGGGCCGGAUAAUUAGUUCAUGAUGAAGGUAGGAAUGACUUUUUCCUAAUUUCGCUGAAAAAAGCCCAUGGGUUGAUUGUAAUGCCUAAAGCCCACAAUAGGAUUUUGGGCCCAAAAGCGGCCACUUCGCAGCUUAUCCGAACCCAGUCAGCCAGCCCACGCAUGAGCUAAUAUAAGCCGGCCAUAUAAGAAACCCUAGCGGAACCACGAACACACUCGCCUCCUCUCUCCGCCGCCGCCACCGUCGCCUCGCGGCCGCCCCCGGCUCCGCUCCUCCGCUCGGUAGGUGGGGCUUCCUUCGAUUCUGCCUUAGACUUAGAGUAGCUCUUGCGCUCGCCGUAUCUCGUGUGGUUGUCGCUAGAACCGUCCCUGAUUCCAUUCCCGUGAUCUGGUUUUGGUCAUUUGAUGGAUUUAUAUUUGUUUGUUGCACCUGUAGGUGAUUAUUAGGUGUUAUUUGUGCGUUUUGAUUUAGGUUUCCUUUCCCCUGGGACGGAUCAGGGCACAUGUACUGUGGCGAUGUAGCUGUUUCAAUA
rnacentral:lncRNA from 1 species